rnacentral:lncRNA from 1 species
UUACAAGAUAUUGCAGACUAUCUUGUUUUCCUAGAAAAGGAUUUUAUCUCAGUCGACUGAAUUACUUUUUUCACUGUGUCUUGCCACUCUUCGUGCAUGCAUCAAAGACCCUAAUAUGACUUCUGGUGGCCUGGGACUCCUUGGGAAAACAGAAAAGGGGCCACAAAUCCCAUUUUGGGAACAAUCUGUUUUACUCAUGGAACCCCUGGAAUUAGAGGUGUGUAAGUACCUCUCAAAAUCUGUCUUUGUCUUCUGGCUAUGCUUUUUAUGAGGCCCUGGAAUUUGUAGUCCUAGCCCUGUUCUUAGAGUGUCUCACUAGGAGGCGUAAUAAUCCAAUUAGG